rnacentral:precursor_RNA from 10 species
AUCACGAAUCAUAUGAUCGUGAGGGCGGUGUGUGCAAAGCCCAAUCAUGUCUAUGCCAGUUAGACGGGUUGGUUUUGCAUGUGCUGACUUCACAGAAAUCUUCAAGCUUAUUU